UCGAUGAAGAACGCAGCGAAUUGCGAUAUGUAAUGUGAAUUGCAGAUUUUCAGUGAAUCAUCGAAUCUUUGAACGCACCUUGCGCUCCUUGGUAUUCCGAGGAGCAUGCCUGUUUGAGUGUCAUUAAAUUCUCAACCCCAUCGAUUUGUUUCGAUUGUGGGAUUGGAUUGUGGGGGUUUGCUGGUGGACUCUUGUCUGUCGGCUUCUCUGAAAUGUAUUAGCAAAGGUUGAUGUGCGAACCAGUGUCUCGGUGUGAUAAUGAUCAUCGUGCCUGACGUGCAGUGUCCUGUGCUUACAGUCGUCGUAAGACAACGUUUUGAACCUUUGACCUCAAAUCAGGUAGGAUUACCCGCUGAACUUAA
rnacentral:rRNA from 1 species